GACGAACGCUGGCGGCGUGCCUAAUACAUGCAAGUAGAACGCUGAAGGAGGAGCUUGCUUCUCUGGAUGAGUUGCGAACGGGUGAGUAACGCGUAGGUAACCUGCCUGGUAGCGGGGGAUAACUAUUGGAAACGAUAGCUAAUACCGCAUAAUAGUAGAUGUUGCAUGACAUUUGCUUAAAAGGUGCAAUUGCAUCACUACCAGAUGGACCUGCGUUGUAUUAGCUAGUUGGUGAGGUAACGGCUCACCAAGGCAACGAUACAUAGCCGACCUGAGAGGGUGAUCGGCCACACUGGGACUGAGACACGGCCCAGACUCCUACGGGAGGCAGCAGUAGGGAAUCUUCGGCAAUGGACGGAAGUCUGACCGAGCAACGCCGCGUGAGUGAAGAAGGUUUUCGGAUCGUAAAGCUCUGUUGUAAGAGAAGAACGAGUGUGAGAGUGGAAAGUUCACAAUGUGACGGUAUCUUAACAGAAAGGGACGGCUAACUACGUG
rnacentral:rRNA from 1 species